GACGAACGCUGGCGGCAGGCUUAACACAUGCAAGUCGAACGGGUGUAGCAAUACAUCAGUGGCAGACGGGUGAGUAACACGUGGGAACCUUCCUAGGGGUACGGAACAACUCAGGGAAACUUGAGCUAAUACCGUAUACGUCCGUAAGGAGAAAGAUUCAUCGCCCCUAGACGGGCCCGCGUCGGAUUAGGUAGUUGGUGGGGUAACGGCCUACCAAGCCUGCGAUCCGUAGCUGAUCUGAGAGGAUGAUCAGCCACACUGGGACUGAGACACGGCCCAGACUCCUACGGGAGGCAGCAGUGGGGAAUCUUGGACAAUGGGCGCAAGCCUGAUCCAGCCAUGCCGCGUGAGUGAAGAAGGCCUUAGGGUUGUAAAGCUCUUUUACCAGGGACGAUAAUGACGGUACCUGGA
rnacentral:rRNA from 1 species